rnacentral:rRNA from 1 species
CAAUUAUUACUUAAUAUACACAUGCAAGUAUCCGCCCUCCUGUGAAAACGCCCUUAAACUCCCCCUAGGAGCAAGGAGCUGGUAUCAGGCUCAUCUCGCCCAAGACACCUAGCUAAGCCACACCCACAAGGGAUUUCAGCAGUGAUUAACAUUGAGCAUUAGCGCAAGCUUGACUCAGUUAAAGUAAGUUAGAGCCGGCUAAUCUGGUGCCAGCCGCCGCGGUUACACCACGUGGCUCAAAUUGACCUCCUUCGGCGUAAAGCGUGAUUAAAGGGGUUAAACUAAAACUAAGCUGUGACACGCCUGUUUUUAAGAAACUCAAAAACGAAAGUUACCCUAAUUAAAACAUCUUGAACUCACGACAGCUGGGAAACAAACUGGGAUUAGAUACCCCACUAUGCCUAGCCGUAAACUUUUAUUUACACCUAAACCGCCAGGGAACUACGAGCUAAGCUUAAAACCCAAAGGACUUGACGGUACCCCAUAUCCCCCUAGAGGAGCCUGUCCUAUAAUCGAUAAUCCACGUUUAACCUCACCAUUCUUAAGUUUAUCAGCCUGUAUACCUCCGUCGUCAGCUUACCACGUUGAGCGCUUUUUAGUGAGCUUAAUGUCUUUCAACAAUACGUCAGGUCAAGGUGCAGCAAAUAUAAUGGAAAGAGAUGGGCUACACUUUCUAUAUUAGAAAAAACGAA